AUGACUCUCAUCACCAUCCUCAUCUGGACGCUGACCUGCUGCUGUUUUACAGGAUGCAGCGGUCAGGUGACUGUGACUCAACCUCCAGCAGUGACAUCUACUCCUGGAAACACUGUCACUCUGACCUGUAGGACCAGCCAAGCUGUUGCUAGCUGUCGUGAUGGUCAGUGUAUGUACUGGUAUCAACAGAAAUCUGGACAGACCACAAAGCUCCUAAUUCGACAUGUGAGCAUAAGACAUUCAGGAACACCAUCUCGAUUUAGUGGCAGUGGAAGCAGCUCUGACUUCUCUAUGACCAUCAGUGGAGUUCAGGCUGAAGAUGCAGCAGUUUACUACUGUAAGAGUAUCCAUGUAAUAAACAGUGCUGAUGUGUGGACUUUUGGUGGAGGAACCAAACUCAUCGUUAACUUGGGUGUGGUGAGGCCCACCCUCACUGUCCUCCCUCCAUCCAAAGAGGAAGACAAACAGUGCAGUGCCACUGUGGUGUGUUUGGCCACCGGGGGCUUCCCCUCAAACUGGAAUUUGGGCUGGAAGGUGGGGGGCACCAGCACAUCCUCAGGGGUUUCAACCAGCCUGGAGGUCUUGGGGACAGACGGCCGCUACAGCUGGAGCAGCACCCUGAGCCUCUCUGCAGACCAGUGGAGGAAGGCGGGCUCAGUGAGCUGUGAGGCCAGUCUGAGUGGACAGAGCCCCGUCACUCAAACCCUGGACCCUGACCACUGCUCAGAGUAGAACUUCAGCAACACUUCCUGUUUGCAUAUGAUGUGUUUGAUGAAGCUACAUGUUUCGUUUGUUCUCAUUUUCAUGACUCUCUAUUGUCUAUUGUGCAUGCAGAUGUCCUCUGUUU